CGGCGCCCUUCCAAGGCAAGUCGAACGGGGGCCACACCUUCGGGUGCGGCCCUAGUGGCGGACGGGUGAGUAGCGCGUGGGAACCUGCCCCGAGCUUUGGGACAACCGCGGGAAACUGCGGCUAAUACCGGAUGAUGCCCCUCGCGAGGGGGGCCAAAGUCCCGAUCUUCGGAUCGGGGCGGCUCGGGAGGGGCCCGCGUCCGAUUAGCUGGUUGGUGGGGUAACGGCCCACCAAGGCGGUGAUCGGUAGCUGGUCUGAGAGGACGAUCAGCCACACUGGGACUGAGACACGGCCCAGACUCCUACGGGAGGCAGCAGUGGGGAAUCUUGGACAAUGGGGGCAACCCUGAUCCAGCGACGCCGCGUGGGUGAUGAAGGCCUUCGGGUUGUAAAGCCCUUUCGACGGGACGAAGCGCAAGUGACGGUACCUGCAGAAGAAGCACCGGCCAACUACGUGCCAGCAGCCGCGGUAAUA
rnacentral:rRNA from 1 species